CCUACGGGUGGCUGCAGUGAGGAAUAUUGGUCAAUGGUCGAGAGUCUGAACCAGCCAAGCAGCGUGAAGGAUGACGGUCCAGUGGAUCGUAAACCUCUUUUGUCAGGGAACAAAGUCCGGUACGUGUCCCCGUAUGCGUGUACCUUAUGAAUAAGCAUCGGCUAACUCCGUGCCAGCAGCCGCGGUAAUACGGAGGAUGCGAGCGUUAUCCGGAUUUAUUGGGUUUAAGGGAGGCGCGGCGGGUCUGUUAGUUCGGUGGUCAAAUCCGGGGGCUAACCGUAGGAUCGCCGUUGAUACUGGCAGUCUCGAGUGGGAGAGAGGUAGGCGGAAUGCGUGGUGUAGCGGUGAAAUGCAUAGAUAUCGCGAAGAACUCCGAUUGCGAAGGCAGCAUGCUGGAUUGAAACUGACGCUGAGGCACGAAAGUGUGGGUAUCGAACAGGAUUAGAUACCCUUGUAGUC
rnacentral:rRNA from 1 species